UAUUGGUAGUAUUCAAUUCAACAUAGCGAGUUAAAAUAAGGCUUUGUCCGUACCCAAUUAUAGAGCACUGAUUCGGUGCUUUUUUU
rnacentral:sRNA from 1 species